rnacentral:rRNA from 1 species
UACGGAGGGUGCAAGCGUUUAUCCGGAUUUACUGGGUUUAAAGGGUGCGUAGGUGGGUUGGUAAGUCAGUGGUGAAAUCUUCGAGCUUAACUCGGAAAACUGCCAUUGAUACUAUCAAUCUUGAAUUAUCUGGAGGUAAGCGGAAUAUGUCAUGUAGCGGUGAAAUGCUUAGAUAUGACAUAGAAUCACCCAUUGCGAAGGCAGCUUACUACGGAUAUAUUGACACUGAGGCACGAAAGCGUGGGGAUCAAACAGG